rnacentral:rRNA from 1 species
GAUGAACGCUGGCGGCGUGCCUAAUACAUGCAAGUCGAGCGAACAGACGAGGAGCUUGCUCCUCUGACGUUAGCGGCGGACGGGUGUGUAACACGUGGAUAACCUACCUAUAAGACUGGGAUAACUUCGGGAAACCGGAGCUAAUACCGGAUAAUAUAUUGAACCGCAUGGUUCAAUAGUGAAAGACGGUUUUGCUGUCACUUAUAGCUGGAUCCGCGCCGCAUUAGCUAGUUGGUAAGGUAACGGCUUACCAAGGCGACGAUGCGUAGCCGACCUGAGAGGGUGAUCGGCCACACUGGAACUGAGACACGGUCCAGACUCCUACGGGAGGCAGCAGUAGGGAAUCUUCCGCAAUGGGCGAAAGCCUGACGGAGCAACGCCGCGUGAGUGAUGAAGGUCUUCGGAUCGUAAAACUCUGUUAUUAGGGAAGAACAAAUGUGUAAGUAACUAUGCACGUCUUGACGGUACCUAAUCAGAAAGCCACGGCUAACUACGUG